rnacentral:rRNA from 1 species
ACUCCUACGGGAGGCAGCAGUGGGGAAUAUUGCACAAUGGGCGCAAGCCUGAUGCAGCCAUGCCGCGUGUGUGAAGAAGGCCUUCGGGUUGUAAAGCACUUUCAGUCGUGAGGAAGGUAGUGUAGUUAAUAGCUGCAUUAUUUGUACGUUAGCGACAGAAGAAGCACCGGCUAACUCCGUGCCAGCAGCCGCGGUAAUACGGAGGGUGCGAGCGUUAAUCGGAAUUACUGGGCGUAAAGCGCAUGCAGGUGGUUUGUUAAGUCAGAUGUGAAAGCCCGGGGUCUCAACCUCGGAAUAGCAUUUGAAACUGGCAGACUAGAGUACUGUAGAGGGGGUAGAAUUUCAGGUGUAGCGGUGAAAUGCGUAGAGAUCUGAAGGAAUACCGGUGGCGAAGGCGGCCCCGUGGACAGAUACUGACACUCAGAUGCGAAAGCGUGGGAGCAAACAGGAUUAGAUA